AAAUCGGCCCUUUUCAGGGCCAAAAAAUCUUUUCCGUAAGGAUAUA
rfam:Punica granatum cultivar Dabenzi scaffold6319, whole genome shotgun sequence.